rnacentral:rRNA from 1 species
ACCGUCUCCAUACAAUAACAAAAGAUACAACUCUUAGCGGUGGAUA